CCUACGGGAGACAGCAGUGAGGAAUAUUGGUCAAUGGACGAGAGUCUGAACCAGCCAAGUAGCGUGAAGGAUGACAGCCCUAUGGGUUGUAAACUUCUUUUAUAUGGGAAUAAAACGUUCCACGUGUGGGAUUUUGUAUGUACCAUAUGAAUAAGGAUCGGCUAACUCCGUGCCAGCAGCCGCGGUAAUACGGAGGAUCCGAGCGUUAUCCGGAUUUAUUGGGUUUAAAGGGAGCGUAGGUGGAUUGUUAAGUCAGUUGUGAAAGUUUGCGGCUCAACCGUAAAAUUGCAGUUGAAACUGGCAGUCUUGAGUACAGUAGAGGUGGGCGGAAUUCGUGGUGUAGCGGUGAAAUGCUUAGAUAUCACGAAGAACUCCGAUUGCGAAGGCAGUUCACUGGACUGCAACUGACACUGAGGCUCGAAAGUGUGGGUAUCAAACAGGAUUAGAUACCCCAGUAGUC
rnacentral:rRNA from 1 species